GGGGUUGUGGCUCAGAGGUAGAGCCCUUGCCUAGCAUGCGUGAGGCCCUGGGUUCAAUCCUCAGCACCA
rnacentral:tRNA from 1 species